CUUUGAGACCUGCCAACUUCUUCCAUCAAAUAUUUUGCUUUCGUAUUUUUUUCAAAGUUUAUUUUAUAAAAACAAAACAUAUAUAUCAACAUGGAAUACUUAGCAUUUAUUUAAAAUAAAAUAAAAAGCAAAAAUUAUGCGGUCGCUUCGGAGUAACAUCAUCAUCCGAUGACUGUGAACUGCUGCUACUGUCCUUUUGUGACUUCUUCUCGGGAAUUUCAUAUGGAAAUUCCUUAUUUUCUUCUUGUAAAGCAUUUUU